GAAACUUCCGUGGAGACUGUUAACAUUUAUAGGGACAGUUUUUUCAGCUAAAACACUUUAAUUAUUGAUUUAACAUUACAUUUAUUUCAUUGUUUGGGGAAAAUAAUCACAUUUGUUUUAUUUUUUAGACUAAAGAUAUCAAGUUUUGAUGAAAAAAGAAGGAAGAAGGAAAAAUGGACCAAAACAGACCAAAACAGACCUUCAAAUGAACUCUA
rnacentral:lncRNA from 1 species